GUGGAUUAGUGGCGAACGGGUGAGUAACACGUGGGCAAUCUGCCCUUCACUCUGGGACAAGCCCUGGAAACGGGGUCUAAUACCGGAUACGACCUGGGAAGGCAUCUUCCCGGGUGGAAAGCUCCGGCGGUGAAGGAUGAGCCCGCGGCCUAUCAGCUUGUUGGUGGGGUGAUGGCCUACCAAGGCGACGACGGGUAGCCGGCCUGAGAGGGCGACCGGCCACACUGGGACUGAGACACGGCCCAGACUCCUACGGGAGGCAGCAGUGGGGAAUAUUGCACAAUGGGCGAAAGCCUGAUGCAGCGACGCCGCGUGAGGGAUGACGGCCUUCGGGUUGUAAACCUCUUUCAGCAGGGAAGAAGCGAAAGUGACGGUACCUGCAGAAGAAGCGCCGGCUAACUACGUGCCAGCAGCCGCGGUAAUACGUAGGGCGCAAGCGUUGUCCGGAAUUAUUGGGCGUAAAGAGCUCGUAGGCGGCUUGUCGCGUCGGAUGUGAAAGCCCGGGGCUUAACCCCGGGUCUGCAUUCGAUACGGGCAGGCUAGAGUGUGGUAGGGGAGAUCGGAAUUCCUGGUGUAGCGGUGAAAUGCGCAGAUAUCAGGAGGAACACCGGUGGCGAAGGCGGAUCUCUGGGCCAUUACUGACGCUGAGGAGCGAAAGCGUGGGGAGCGAACAGGAUUAGAUAC
rnacentral:rRNA from 1 species